rnacentral:rRNA from 1 species
AUUGAACGCUGGCGGCAGGCCUAACACAUGCAAGUCGAACGAGUGGCGGACGGGUGAGUAAUGUCUGGGAAACUGCCUGAUGGAGGGGGAUAACUACUGGAAACGGUAGCUAAUACCGCAUACCAUCGGAUGUGCCCAGAUGGGAUUAGAUAGUAGGUGGGGUAAUGGCUCACCUAGGCGACGAUCCCUAGCUGGUCUGAGAGGAUGACCAGACAAACUGGAACUGAGACAAGGUCCAGACUCCUACGGGAGGCAGCAGUUGGGAAUAUUGCACAAUGGGCGCAAGCCUGAUGCAGCCAUGCCGCGUGUGUGAAGAAGGCCUUCGGGUUGUAAAGUACUUUCAGCGGGGAGGCGUUACUCGCAGAAGAAGCACCGGCUAACUCCGUGCCAGCAGCCGCGGUAAUAC